UACGUAGGGUGCAAGCGUUGUCCGGAAUUAUUGGGCGUAAAGAGCUCGUAGGCGGUUUGUCGCGUCUGCUGUGAAAACUCGGGGCUUAACCCCCGGGCCUGCAGUGGGUACGGGCAGACUAGAGUGCGGUAGGGGAGACUGGAAUUCCUGGUGGUAGCGGUGAAAUGCGCAGAUAUCAGGAGGAACACCGGUGGCGAAGGCGGGUCUCUGGGCCGUAACUGACGCUGAGGAGCGAAAGCGUGGGGAGCGAACAGG
rnacentral:rRNA from 1 species